rnacentral:rRNA from 1 species
UACGUAGGGCGCAAGCGUUGUCCGGAAUUAUUGGGCGUAAAGAGCUCGUAGGCGGUCUGUCGCGUCCGUUGUGAAAACUCGAGGCUCAACCUCGGGCUUGCAGUGGAUACGGGCAGACUAGAGUGCGGUAGGGGAGACUGGAAUUCCUGGUGUAGCGGUGGAAUGCGCAGAUAUCAGGAGGAACACCGAUGGCGAAGGCAGGUCUCUGGGCCGCAACCGACGCUGAGGAGCGAAAGCCUGGGGAGCGAACAGG